UCAUUCAGGAUCACCAGUGCUUCUAAAUUUUUUUUUAUUUUUUUUUUUUUAGUCCGCCUCUUUAGACAGUGAGAAAAUGUGAAAUUGGAUAAACUUAAUCUGUUUUUGUAUCUCACUGUCAGACCUUUACACAGCUCAGAUAAAAUCACCAAUCUGGAUUUCUUACUGAAGUUAAAAUACUGGCAGAAGUGUUGUCCAGGUAUGGAUUCCUGAACUUAGUCCCUGUUGUUCAUCCUUAAACAUUGUUAUACACAUACCAGUGGGGGCAGAAGGAGAUUCUGACACUGAGUCUGUUUUCAAAUCACACCAUAAAUACGGACGUUUUUACCCUGCAGUCAGUCCUUUUACUCAAAAGCAGAAACCUGGGAUUCAACAAAUCUAAGAGCAACCUGCCACGCAGGAAAAUUCCAUUUGAAGCUUAGGUGGCAGUUGAUAUUCCCUCUUCUCCUUCUUCUCAGCCUUAGAAAUUGCCUUUCUCUUCCCACUGCAAAGAGACCUCCUUUUAAGUGCAUUUCCCUGAGGAAAUGAGAAUGUGUAUCUACUUAAUUUAAAAAGACUGCACAGAACUGUUUUGGAAAUUUUCUAAUCUGAUGAUGAGCUGCAGUUGCUCUCACUGUGCUGCAGACACUGUACCAAAACAAACCAAGGUUUUGCUGACACUCUUUGCUCUCCAAGUGGAUUCUCAUUUUCAGAAAGGAUCAAUACAUCUUCCACUACAAAAAGUCAACAGGACUUCAUGGGGGAGGAACUUCCUGAGACCUCUUCCUGAAGAAAGUUUUGGCUGCAGAUGGAUUAUUAGGACUUUUUGAUGAUGGAAAUUUGAGGCACCUGAAGUCCACCUGAAUCUUGGCCCAAGGAGCACAGAAGGACAUUGUCAGGCGCAGGUCCAGUGACAGGAAAAAAAAACUGGCUGGGGCUCAAAGGAAACAAAUGUCUCUCAUAUGUCUCUAGGCUAGGAAUUAAUAAAAAUAUUCAAUUCAAAAGAGGUGUUGUUCA
ensembl:lncRNA